rnacentral:rRNA from 1 species
AUUGAACGCUGGCGGCAUGCCUUACACAUGCAAGUCGAACGGCAGCACGGGUGCUUGCACCUGGUGGCGAGUGGCGAACGGGUGAGUAAUACAUCGGAACAUGUCCUGUAGUGGGGGAUAGCCCGGCGAAAGCCGGAUUAAUACCGCAUACGAUCUACGGAUGACAGCGGGGGACCUUCGGGCCUCGCGCUAUAGGGUUGGCCGAUGGCCGAUUAGCUAGUUGGUGGGGUAAAGGCCUACCAAGGCGACGAUCAGUAGCUGGUCUGAGAGGACGACCAGCCACACUGGGACUGAGACACGGCCCAGACUCCUACGGGAGGCAGCAGUGGGGAAUUUUGGACAAUGGGCGAAAGCCUGAUCCAGCAAUGCCGCGUGUGUGAAGAAGGCCUUCGGGUUGUAAAGCACUUUUGUCCGGAAAGAAAUCCUUGGCCCUAAUACGGUCGGGGGAUGACGGUACCGGAAGAAUAAGCACCGGCUAACUACGUG